UACGUAGGGGGCGAGCGUUGUCCGGAGUUAACGUGGGCGUAAAGGGCGUGCAGGCGGUGCGGUAAGUUUACGCGUGACAGUCUCCGGCUUAACUGGAGAAGGCCGCUGAAAACUGCUGGACUUGAGGGCCAGAGAGGGACAUAGAAUUCCGGGUGGAGUGGAUGAAAUGCGUAGAUAUCCGGAGGAAUACCAAAGGCGAAGGCAGUGUCCUGGCUGGCAACUGACGCUGAGGCGCGAAAGCUAGGGGAGCGAACAGG
rnacentral:rRNA from 1 species